GGCCGUUGCCGUUGCCCCUCCCGCCAGGUCCGUGGCCCCGGCCACCCCGCGACCUGCGCGACCUCCUCCGCGGCCUCCCAUGCCUGAAUGCCAUAAUUAUCUUGACAAGGUCAAUACUAAUCCGGGGAAUUUGAGAAAUAACAGUCAAUUUGACCUGAGCGAACAGGGAAUUUCAGAAAUCAUGAGUCAAUUUCAUCCGAGCGAACGGGGAGUUUUAGAAAUCACGAGUCAAUUUGAUCCUGGUUAACAGGGAAUUUGAGAAAUCACGAGUCAAUUUGAUCCGAGUUAACAGGGAAUUUGAGAAAUCACGAGUCUAUUAAGGUUAAAGCGGUUCCUCAGACCUGAAGAGGAAAUCGGAAAACAACCGCGGAACUGAAUCAGAUCUGGAAACGAAAUCCAAAAGCCACCGCAUUGUUAACAGGAGAUCAGAUCCGAUCCGAUUCGAUUCGUCUAAGGCUGGGGAUCCAGGAGAUCGAGGGUUUACCUCGUUCCUGGUCAGAUCGGGGAAGAGGGACGGGACGGGCGAGAUCCUCCUGUCCUGAUGAGAUCGGAGAACGAGGGACGGGCGAGACCCUCCUGUCCUGGCGGGAUCGGAGAACGAGGGACGGGCGAGAUCCUCUCCGCGCGGUCGGUGGUGGUGGUUCGAAUGCGGCCGAAGAGUUAGGGUUGGCUGCAGAGACGUGUUUAUUUAUAUCAUCCCCUUUUUUCGGGAUCAGCGGGCUUCCCUCGGGUGUUUUUCUUUCUGUUUAUCGGGAAAAUUGUUAUUUACACAGACACAUCGUUUGCGAGUAAUUUUUUAAUAAAUCCU
rnacentral:lncRNA from 1 species